rnacentral:lncRNA from 10 species
AUUAUAAUUACUAUUAAUUUUUAAAGAGGUAAACAAUGACUGGAAAGACAUGUUACUUAUUUGCUCUCAGUUACUAAACCUACAUAUCAGCCUAUUUCUCUGGACCUAAAAAGAUAACUCAUCAUUUUAUGAUGCAGCCACAGUGCCUGCCAGUCAAGGAAAAAACUACAGUGACAACAAAAAUCAUCACAGUCAAACUGUCCGUAUUCCAAAAGAUGGUCUAAGCCUAAAACAAGACAAUGAGACUCAAAGAAGACAAUGAGCUGACAAUGGCUACCAGCAGCUGCUUAUUUAUAUAAGUCAUCUGAGAACCCUAGAAAUGCUCAAUCAGUGGAACUGUGUGCAAUAUUUUGGCAAGGACUCUCCAGAUAAUGAACAAGAUAGUACUAAUAUCUCUCUGUAUUUUCAGGACGAAAACUCAUGAGAAGAGAUGUACAUCUGAGAAAUGAAAUUGUGUAUACUGUUACUGCUUUUUCCAUAUGCUCAUAACUUUUUAAGUAUGGAAAAUUAUCUAUAAUCUAAGACUCACAUUCACAUUCAGAUGUUGUGUAGUGCAGGGACCCAGCCCAUUGUGAUUCAAGGUCAAUGACUUUUAUGAUAAAUAAAGUUUGGGAACCAGUUGCUACGAGGUCUGUGGUGGGGAUGGGGCAGGAGCAAGCAUUGUCUUCAGCCUCCACAUAUGUGCGUGCAUGCACAUGUGUGCACACACACUCUUACACCCUAGCAUUUAUCACUAACCCGUAGCAUAUUUAACUCACUAAUCUGCCACCCACACCCCCUGCCAUUAGAAUCUAAAUUCUAUGAAAGCAUAAAUGUCAGCCUAUUUUGUUCACUGUUCAACAAACAGAUUUGGGCCUAGUAUUUAAAGGCACUUAGCUAGUUUUCCAUAAACAGAUGAAUGAGACCAAAAGCAUCCAGAGUAAAGUCCUCCAAUAGUGGUCUUCUUAAGAUAUGUAUAUCCUAUAGUGGAAUAAAGCUGGAUAAGCACAGCACUUUUUUAUUAUUACUUUCAUGUGAAAACAAAUACAAAUAAAU